AAGAACAGACAAGCAGAAAACAAGAAGCUGACCCAACAGGAAGUCUCCUGAUCUUGCCCAGUUUCCAGACCGAAGUCAUUUCUCAGUUACAGCAUCUACAGACAGAGAGUCCAGAGCCCCAUGAAGAAAGACUCUACCACAGUGUGUACGGUAAUUCUCCCUCCGACCUUCCUUAAAGGGACCUCCAGAAAUUACUCAGGGUCGUACUUCAAAGUCAUACUUCUUACCCUUCUCUAAUUUGAAGAAAGCUUGGGCUAAAGGUUGCACAUCUUCCACUGGCAACUUAUAAACCAUCAGAGAGGAGUACCUGAGAGAAAAGGAGAGGUUUUCCUUUUGAAUGACUAUCACUCAACAUAACUGACAAGUAACAGUGAACAUUUGGUACCAUUUCCAAAACAGCAACCAUGUUUAC
rnacentral:lncRNA from 1 species